rnacentral:rRNA from 1 species
UACGUAGGGUGCGAGCGUUAAUCGGAAUUACUGGGCGUAAAGCGUGCGCAGGCGGUUUUGUAAGCCAGGUGUGAAAUCCCCGGGCUUAACCUGGGAAUGGCAUUUGAAACUCCCCUUCUUGAGUACCGGAGAGGAAAGUGGAAUUCCUGGUGUAGAGGUGAAAUUCGUAGAUAUCAGGAGGAACACCAGUGGCGAAGGCGGCUGUCUGGACGGUAACUGACGCUGAGACGCGAAAGCGUGGGGAGCAAACAGG